AGCGAACGCUGGCGGCAGGCUUAACACAUGCAAGUCGAGCGGGCGUAGCAAUACGUCAGCGGCAGACGGGUGAGUAACGCGUGGGAACAUACCUUUUGGUUCGGAACAACACAGGGAAACUUGUGCUAAUACCGGAUAAGCCCUUACGGGGAAAGAUUUAUCGCCGAAAGAUUGGCCCGCGUCUGAUUAGCUAGUUGGUGAGGUAAUGGCUCACCAAGGCGACGAUCAGUAGCNGGUCUGAGAGGAUGAUCAGCCACAUUGGGACUGAGACACGGCCCAAACUCCUACGGGAGGCAGCAGUGGGGAAUAUUGGACAAUGGGCGCAAGCCUGAUCCAGCCAUGCCGCGUGAGUGAUGAAGGCCCUAGGGUUGUAAAGCUCUUUUGUGCGGGAAGAUAANGACGGUACCGCAAGAAUAAGCCCCGGCUAACUUCGUGCCAGCCGCCGCUGUAAC
rnacentral:rRNA from 1 species